AAAUUGAAGAGUUUGAUCAUGGCUCAGAUUGAACGCUGGCGGCAGGCCUAACACAUGCAAGUCGAACGGUAACAGGAAACAGCUUGCUGUUUCGCUGACGAGUGGCGGAC
rnacentral:rRNA from 1 species